rnacentral:rRNA from 1 species
AUAAUGCAAGUAGACGCUGAAGAGAGGAGCUUGCUCUUCUUGGAUGAGUUGCGAACGGGUGAGUAACGCGUAGGUAACCUGCCUUGUAGCGGGGGAUAACUAUUGGAAACGAUAGCUAAUACCGCAUAACAAUGGAUGACACAUGUCAUUUAUUUGAAAGGGGCAAUUGCUCCACUACAAGAUGGACCUGCGUUGUAUUAGCUAGUAGGUGAGGUAACGGCUCACCUAGGCGACGAUACAUAGCCGACCUGAGAGGGUGAUCGGCCACACUGGGACUGAGACACGGCCCAGACUCCUACGGGAGGCAGCAGUAGGGAAUCUUCGGCAAUGGGGGCAACCCUGACCGAGCAACGCCGCGUGAGUGAAGAAGGUUUUCGGAUCGUAAAGCUCUGUUGUAAGUCAAGAACGAGUGUGAGAGUGGAAAGUUCACACUGUGACGGUAGCUUACCAGAAAGGGACGGCUAACUACGUGCCAGCAGCCGCGGUAAUACGUAGGUCCCGAGCGUUGUCCGGAUUUAUUGGGCGUAAAGCGAGCGCAGGCGGUUUGAUAAGUCUGAAGUUAAAGGCUGUGGCUCAACCAUAGUUCGCUUUGGAAACUGUCAAACUUGAGUGCAGAAGGGGAGAGUGGAAUUCCAUGUGUAGCGGUGAAAUGCGUAGAUAUAUGGAGGAACACCGGUGGCGAAAGCGGCUCUCUGGUCUGUAACUGACGCUGAGGCUCGAAAGCGUGGGGAGCGAACAGGAUUAGAUACC